rnacentral:lncRNA from 1 species
UAGAAAAUAACAGUUUGUACAGUAUAAAAACCAAUUACGCCUAUGGAAGGUCCCCGGUAAACCCACCAAAUAGCAAGUACAGUAUGUGUGUGUGUGCGCAUAUGUGUAUGUAUAUAUGUGAACACACACACACACACACACACACACACACACACUCAAGCAGUUUCUGACAUAAGCAUAUUUUUUCCUAUUGUUAGAAAAUAAAACUGACUCCAGCAAUGGGAGGAGUUUAUUCACACUGUUGAGAGUGUGAGCCAGAGUGAAACUGAUGUUCAAAAACUAUUUUUGCCAUCACUGUCAACACUGAAGACAUCAUGUUUGUCUUUACCUGGAUAAUAAUGCAACUUUGCAUGGGAACUUUUUUUGCUGAUACAAUUCAACCACUGUCUUUAGAAAAAUAUGUUGUUGAGGGUAAAAAUGUGACUUUGUCCUGUAAUUACAGUACCAGUACUGGCAAUGUUAACUCUCUCCAGUGGUAUCGACAGUAUGUCGGAGCAAAACCAGAGUUCCUACUUCAGGUCAAUGAAUAUUCAACUAAAUCUUCGCCUGAUCUUCGCCUGUAUUCAAAGGCUACAAAAGAAAUCAAGCGUGUGGAUCUGGAGAUCUCUUCUGCUGCUGUAUCAGACUUUGCUCUGUACUACUGUGCCCUGCAGCCCACAGUGAACAGGAAACACAAGAACACUAGUAACAAAAACCUGACACGUAGGAAGAUGUACUUAACUUUUUUUUUUCUCAUAAAACCAUUAGAUGGCGACAUGCACCAUAUAUUCAUAUUAUCAAGCCUCAUUACAGAAUUAACUCCUCUUUUCCAUUUAAUUAACAGAUAUCUCAUUUACAAAUCUGUUGCUCUACCUUUUUCAUAG